CCUACGGGGGGCAGCAGUAAGGAAUAUUGGUCAAUGGACGCAAGUCUGAACCAGCCAUGCCGCGUGGAGGAUGAAGGUCCUCUGGAUUGUAAACUUCUUUUAUUUGGGAAGAAACUCCCGAUUUCCAUCGGGAUUGACGGUACCAGAUGAAUAAGCACCGGCUAACUCCGUGCCAGCAGCCGCGGUAAUACGUAGGGUGCAAGCGUUAUCCGGUGUCAAGGGGUUGAAAGGGGGCAUGUAUGGGCAGGUAGAGAUCUCCGGGCUUAACCCGGAAACUGCAAUUGAUACUAUUUGUCUUGAAUACUCUGGAGGUGAGCGGAAUAUGUCAUGUAGCGGUGAAAUGCUUAGAUAUGACAUAGAACACCCAUUGCGAAGGCAGCUCACUACGGAAAUAUUGACGCUGAGGCACGAAAGCGUGGGGAUCAAACAGGAUUAGAUACCCUUGUAGUC
rnacentral:rRNA from 1 species